AUCUAUGCAACACAGAUGACCAUUAAUAUGCAUUUUAGUUGAAUGUAAGUAGAUUAUGAUAAAAUAUUAUUCUAACCAAGAUUCAAAUUAGAAUUUUUCCAAACAAUCUCAUAAUAUGAUGUUGGUAGCCCGAAAUCAAGGCACAUAAAAGAAAUUCCCUUCUCUUCCACGCAUUGCAAAUUAAUUUCAAGAUGCAUUACUCUCUCUCUCUCCCAUUCCCACCGAAAGAAAUCCUUGAAUUCAUGUGAACAUCCUUAUCACAUGAUAUAUCUACUGUUCUUUCUGAUUGGCUCUAUGUCAUGCCACUGUAGAAUUAGAAUCCAUUGAAAAUUUUGGCCUGCAAAUAUUUUACGUCACUCCCUUCACUGUUGUUUCUCUUUUGCUGCCUCUUUU
rnacentral:lncRNA from 1 species